rnacentral:rRNA from 1 species
GAUGAACGCUGGCGGCAGGCCUAACACAUGCAAGUCGAACGAGUGGCGGACGGGUGAGUAAUGUCUGGGAAACUGCCCGAUGGAGGGGGAUACCUACUGGAAACGGUAGCUAAUACCGCAUACCAUCGGAUGUGCGCAGAUGGGAUUCGCUAGUCGGUGGGGUAACGGCUCACCUAGGCGACGAUCCCUAGCUGGUCUGAGAGGAUGAACAGCAACACUGGAACUGAGACACGGUCCAGACUCCUACGGGAGGCAGCAGUGGGGAAUAUUGCACAAGGGGCGAAAGCCUGAUGCAGCCAUGCCGCGGGUAUGAAGAAGGCCUUCGGGUUGUAAAGUACUUUCAGCGAGGAGGCGUUACUCGCAGAAGAAGCACCGGCUAACUCCGUGCCAGCAGCCGCGGUAAUUC